AGCAGUCGAGCGCGGGAGCGAACGGAAUCCUUCGGGAGGAAGUUCGUGGAACGAGCGGCGGACGGGUGAGUAACACGUGGGCAACCUACCUGUAAGACUGGGAUAACCCCGGGAAACCGGGGCUAAUACCGGAUAAUACGUUCCUUCACCUGAAGGAAUGUUGAAAGAUGGCUUCUAGCUAUCACUUACAGAUGGGCCCGCGGCGCAUUAGCUAGUUGGUGAGGUAACGGCUCACCAAGGCGACGAUGCGUAGCCGACCUGAGAGGGUGAUCGGCCACACUGGGACUGAGACACGGCCCAGACUCCUACGGGAGGCAGCAGUAGGGAAUCUUCCGCAAUGGACGAAAGUCUGACGGAGCAACGCCGCGUGAACGAAGAAGGUUUUCGGAUCGUAAAGUUCUGUUGUUAGGGAAGAACAAGUGCCGUUCAAAUAGGGCGGCACCUUGACGGUACCUAUCGAGGAAGCCCCGGCUAACUACGUGCCAGCAGCCGCGGUAAUACGUAGGGGGCAAGCGUUGUCCGGAAUUAUUGGGCGUAAAGCGCGCGUAGGCGGUUUCUUAAGUCUGAUGUGAAAUCUUGCGGCUCAACCGCAAGCGGUCAUUGGAAACUGGGGAACUUGAGUGCAGAAGAGGAGAGUGGAAUUCCACGUGUAGCGGUGAAAUGCGUAGAUAUGUGGAGGAACACCAGUGGCGAAGGCGACUCUCUGGUCUGUAACUGACGCUGAGGUGCGAAAGCGUGGGGAGCGAACAGGAUUAGAUACCCUGGUAGUCCACGCCGUAAACGAUGAGUGCUAGGUGUUACGGGGUUUCCGCCCCUUUAGUGCUGCAGUUAACGCAUUAAGCACUCCGCUGGGGAGUACGGCCGCAAGGCUGAAACUCAAAAGAAUGACCGGGGCCUGCACAGCGUGGAGCAUGUGUUUAUCGAGCACGCGAGACUACAGUCUGACAUCUCGAUGUCCUAGAAUAGGAGUUCUCGGGAACGAUGACUGUGUGCAUGGAUGUCGUCAGUCGGUAUGAAUGUAGCUUAGUCGUACGAGGCACCUUGGACUAAC
rnacentral:rRNA from 1 species